UAUUGCAUGGUGUGCAAUAGUUUUAAUCUCAGCCUUUACUUUAAUCUAAUGGAUAUAAAUAUGACACAUCAGAGAACCACGUCAUCAAUCCGCGUGACACCACUUUCACCGAUUUCUUUGCUCUUUUCUCUGCACCCUUCAGCUUCCUCAAAUUUCAAAAAAGUCUCUCCCUGUCUCUCUUCCAUCGGAUCUUUCUCUAGGACUCCAUGACUACAGCUAGCAGCCACCGCGUUCCGCUCCACCAAUUCCGGUGGUGGUUCCGCUUGAAGGAGAGACCCACUCUUGGGACGAUGCAAAGAAACUUGACAAUGUUGCCUAGAGGUGCUCUCAAAGGAGUCUUGGUUCGACUCAUUAUCUGCUGGCGGGGUUAUCAAAUUGAAGAAAGAGAUUUGGGUGGAUUAGUUUUAGUUUAUUGAUAGGCUUAACAAAAUUAAGGCUCCCAUCAUUUAGGAAGAGUUAUCUGCUUGUUAGUAGAUUAUUGUUCAAAUGCAGUUCUUUAUUUAUUUUUAGUUAGACAUUGUAUUUAGUUACUAUUUAAUCAAUGAAAAGUAAAAGAAUCAAGGAGUA